UGGCUCAGUGGUAGAGUGCUUGCCUUGCAUGCAUGAAUGCCUGGGUUCAAUUCCCCAG
rnacentral:tRNA from 1 species